UACGUAGGGACCAAGCGUUGCUCGGAUUUACUGGGCGUAAAGGGCGCGUAGGCGGCCCUACAAGUCACUUGUGAAAUCUCUGGGCUUAACUCAGAACGGCCAAGUGAAACUGUAGAGCUAGAGUGUGGAAGGGGCAAUCGGAAUUCUUGGUGUAGCGGUGAAAUGCGUAGAUAUCAAGAGGAACACCUGAGGUGAAGACGGGUUGCUGGGCCAACACUGACGCUGAGGCGCGAAAGCCAGGGGAGCAAACGGG
rnacentral:rRNA from 1 species